AAGUCGUAACAAGGUUUCCGUAGGUGAACCUGCGGAAGGAUCAUUAAUGAUUUGGCAAACCGAGCGUUAGCGAGGUUUUGCGAUCAACUUGUAUUUAAAACCCAACUCUUUAUAAUAAUUUAUACAUAAUUUUUAAUGAUAAAAUUAAAAGAUCACUUUCAACAACGGAUCUCUUGGCUCUC
rnacentral:misc_RNA from 1 species